GGCGAUGAAGGACGUGGUAGCCUGCGUAAAGUUUCGGGGAGCUGGCAAACAAGCUUUGAUCCGGAAAUGUCCGAAUGGGGAAACCCACCCGCAAGGGUAACUCCUCCUGAAUAUAUAGGGAGGUUGUGGCAAACCGAGUGAACUGAAACAUCUAAGUAGCUCGAGGAAAAGAAAUCAACCGAGAUUCCCUGAGUAGUGACGAGCGAACGGGGACCAGCCCUUAAGCUGGAUUGGUUUUAGAAGAACAGUCUGGAAAGACUGGCCAUAGACGGUGACAGCCCGGUAUUCGAAAAGACCUUU
rnacentral:rRNA from 1 species